rnacentral:rRNA from 1 species
UACAGAGGGGGCAAGCGUUGUUCGGAAUUACUGGGCGUAAAGGGCGCGUAGGCGGCCUGUUAAGUCGAACGUGAAAUCCCCCGGGCUCAACCCGGGAACUGCGUCCGAUACUGGGAGGCUUGAAUCCGGGAGAGGGAUGUGGAAUUCCAGGUGUAGCGGUGAAAUGCGUAGAUAUCUGGAGGAACACCGGUGGCGAAGGCGGCAUCCUGGACCGGUAUUGACGCUGAGGCGCGAAAGCCAGGGGAGCAAACGGG